GACGAGGGAUCCUAGCGUUGUUCGGAAUCAUUGGGCGUAAAGCGAAUGUAGGCUGCCAUUCAAGUCAGUUGUGAAAGCCCCGGGCUCAACCCGGGAAGUGCUUCUGAUACUGUUUGGCUUGAGUACUAGAGAGGAUAGUAGAAUUCCAGGUGUAGUGGUGAAAUACGUAGAUAUCUGGAGGAAUACCGGUGGCGAAGGCGGCUAUCUGGCUAUGUACUGACGCUGAGAUUCGAAAGCGUGGGGAGCAAACAGG
rnacentral:rRNA from 1 species